AAAAGAAAAGGGGUGAAAAGAACAAAGUUUUGUCCAUCUUUGUUCAUCAUAGCUGAAAGUUAGAGAAGAGAAAGGAGAGGAGAAAGCUCUUGAGUAUUCGGUCAUUAGGAGGAGAAAAAUUGAAGGAAAUCCCCAACCAUAGUGGGCUUGGAGUUGUGAGGGAAUUCGGAGUGGCCACCCGUUCUGAAAGUUUGAUUUUCUUCUGGUGAACUGGACAUCCUUUUAAUUACGUUUGAGGUUUUGGGCUUUUAAAUGUAAUAAGGCCGCUUAUUUAUUUUUGAUGGUUUUUAUAUGUUUUAUUAAGAUAGGUAAUAUUUAUAUUUAA